GGGGCCGUAGUUCAGUUGGGAGAACGCUACACUGGCAGUGUAGAGGUCAGGGGUUCAAGUCCCCUCGGCUCCA
rnacentral:tRNA from 1 species